UUUAGGCCAUGUAGGAAAUACAGUUCUCUGGAGACUGCUCCUGCCUUAAGUGAGUGUCAGUUUGGUAAGCUGCUAAAAUGAGAAAGAGCUGCUGUUUUUACAUGGGCCAUCACUUCUCAAACACUGAAGGCACAAUGGGAAAUGGAAUUCAGAUAGGAAGUCCAGACUGGACAGGCUUCAGACUCCAUAUUUGCUUGCAUCUCAGCUGGCUCUUCAUCGUGAUCAUGAGACCAAUGCUUCUGUUCCAAGAAUCUCAUGAAAAAAAAUCCAAUGUAAGAAGAGGGACCAUUCUUCUUGUUUUGAUACCAAGGAGAUUCCUUAGUAAGCAUUCUGCUGGCUAAAUUCCACCUGAGUCUACCUCCUAGGAAACCCAACCGAUGACGACGAUUGAAUAACACAUUUAAGUACUGAAAUAAGUAAAGCUGUCAACCCAGCUUCUGUAUGCUACAAAAUUAUCUUUCAAAAGUGAAGAAAAAUAAAGAUGUUUUCAGAUGGACAAAAGCUAA